rnacentral:sRNA from 1 species
UUUGAUGAUGAACGCUGCCGGCACCAAGUAGAAUAUCUUGGACUACUGGAAAAUGUGAGAGUGCGUCGGGCAGGAUUUGCCUUCCGCCAGACAUACGAGAAGUUUCUUCACAGGUAUAAGAUGAUCUCUGAAUUCACCUGGCCCAACCAUGACCUUCCUUCAGACAAAGAGGCUGUCAAGAAACUGAUUGAACGGUGUGGUUUUCAGGAUGAUGUAGCUUAUGGGAAGACCAAAAUUUUCAUUCGAACACCCCGAACAUUGUUUACCUUGGAAGAACUCCGUGCCCAGAUGCUCAUAAGGAUUGUCCUCUUUCUACAAAAGGUGUGGCGGGGCACCCUGGCCCGCAUGCGGUACAAAAGAACCAAGGCAGCUCUGACCAUAAUCAGGUACUACCGGCGCUACAAAGUGAAGUCGUACAUCCACGAGGUGGCCAGACGCUUCCAUGGCGUCAAGACCAUGCGAGACUACGGGAAGCACGUGAAGUGGCCAAGCCCUCCUAAAGUUCUUCGCCGUUUUGAGGAGGCCCUGCAGACGAUUUUCAAUAGGUAAGAACGUGUUGCUGUGUGCUGCAUCCAUUUAUGGUGGCACAGUUAAUACUAUGCAAAGUCACAAGUCUGAGACCGUGAUAUUGACUCAGCUAUUUGCUGUUAUGACAUUUACCUUUACCUUAUGUUUUCAGUU